rnacentral:rRNA from 1 species
CAGCCGCCACGGUAAGACGUAGGGUGCAAGCGUUGUCCGGAAUUACUGGGCGUAAAGCGUGCGUAGGUGGUGGUUUAAGUCCGUUGUGAAAGCCCUGGGCUCAACCUGGGAAUUGCAGUGGAUACUGGGCCACUAGAGUGUGGUAGAGGAUAGUGGAAUUUCCGGUGUAGCAGUGAAAUGCGUAGAGAUCGGAAGGAACAUCUGUGGCGAAGGCGACUAUCUGGGCCAACACUGACACUGAGGCACGAAAGCGUGGGGAGCAAACAGGAUUAGAUACCCCUGUAGUCCCUGUCUCUUAUAC